CACGGCAGAGGAGGCGCAGGGACCCCCCGGGGGGCUGGAGGUCCCCCCCGGACUCCAGCAGGGUCACGGCCGCCCGGAUCCGGCUUUGCCUCAUCCCCAUCUCCCCUUUUUCCCGCAGGGCUCCGGGCGGCCGUGACCCUGCUGGAGUCCGGGGGGGACCUCCAGCCCCCCGGGGGGUCCCUGCGCCUCCUCUGCCGCGGGGAAGGAUUCACAUUCGGGGAUUUUGCGAUGUUGUGGAUCCGGCAGAAACCCGGGAAGACGCUGGAAUUCGUCGCGAGUAUGACCAACGAUGGUUUCAGCUCCUGGUACGCGCCGUCGGUGCAGGGCCGGUUCACCAUCGCCAGGGACAACGGGCAGAGCUCGGUGACGCUGAGCAUGAACAACCUCCAGGACGAGGAUUCCGGCGUUUAUUUCUGUGCCAAAGCCUCCUGUGUCAAUUGUUGGACUGCUGCCAGUUAUGGUGACGGUGCCAGUGGUGGCUCAGAGCGGCUGGAAUUUGCCUCACACUCGUCGUUGCAUCCCCAAACCCCUGUUUUUUGCCCCAAAACCACCGAUUUUGGAGCCAAAUCUCCGUCCCUGACCCCAAUCCCCACCCUCGGCCCUCGGGGCAGUUUUUGGGGUGAAACCCUCCGGAUUUGGUGCUGCUGA